rnacentral:rRNA from 1 species
AUGGGGCACGGGCUCAGCUGUAGCCGCGACGGCGACGAGCACGACUUCUUCCGCGCCGCGCAGGCCGGCGACGUAGACGCCCUCGACGGCCUCCUCGCCGCCGACCCGGCGCUCGUCCGCCGCGCCACCAUCUACGACCGCCUCACCGCGCUCCACGUCUCCGCUGCCAACGGCUGCCUCCCGGCCGUCGACAUGCUGCUCGCCCGCGGCGUCCGCCCGGACGUCGUCGACCGCCGCAAGCGCACCCCGCUCAUGCUCGCCGCCACCCACGGCCACAUCGACUGCGCCCUCGCCCUCCUCCGCGCCGGCGCCAAUAUUCUGAUGUUCGACUCGGUGAACGCGCGGACGUGCCUCCACCACGCGGCCUACUACGGCCACGCCGACUGCCUGCGGGCCAUCCUCACCGCGGCGCGCACCACGCCGGUGGCCGACUCGUGGGGCUUCGUGCGCUUCGUCAACGUCCGGGACGAGCACGGCGCCACGCCGCUGCACGUGGCCGCCAGGCAGGGCCGGCCGGAGUGCGUGCACCUGCUGCUCGAGAGCGGCGCCAUCGUCUCGGCCCCCACCGGCUCCUACGGCUUCCCGGGGAGCACGGCGCUGCAUCUUGCGGCGCGCGGCGGCAGCCUGGAGUGCGUCCGGGAGCUGCUGGCGUGGGGCGCCGACCGCGUGCACCGGGACUCGGCGGGCCGGAUCGCCUACUCGGUGGCGAUGAAGCGCGGCCACGGCGCGUGCGCGGCGCUGCUGAACCCGGCGGCUGCGGAGCCCAUGGUGUGGCCGUCGCCGCUCAAGUUCAUCGGCGAGCUGGGGGCGGACGCGAGGGCGCUCCUCGAGGCGGCGCUGGCCGAGGCCAACCGGGAGCGGGAGAAGAAGAUCCUCAAGGGAACCAAGUACUCGGACUCUUCCUCGCCGGCGCUCUCCGACGCCGGCGCCGGCGACGACGACGAGGUCGACGACCAGGAGGACGAGGAGGUGUGCAGCAUCUGCUUCGAGCAGGCGUGCAGCAUCCAGGUGGAGGACUGCGGGCACCGGAUGUGCGCCGCCUGCACGCUCGCGCUCUGCUGCCACAGCAAGCCCAACCCGGCCACGCUGACUCUCCAGCCGCCGGCGUGCCCCUUCUGCCGCAGCUGCAUCUCCCGCCUCGUCGUCGCCGACUCCAAGGCCAAGGCGGUCGCGGUCGCGGGCGCCGGCGACGAGGCCGAAGAGAAGCCUCGGCUGAGCCGGAGGCGGUCGCGGAGGUCCCGCGAGGGGAGCAGCAGCUUCAAGGGGCUCUCGUCGGCCAUGGGGUCGCUGUCGAGCAAGAUCGGCCGCGGCUCCGGCAGGCUGGCCGGCGACGGCGACGGCGCGUUCCUGGACAAGCUGGAGCACGACCUCCCGUGA